CAUCAGAUGACUGAAAGCAAGUACUGGUCUCUUAAACCAUUUAAUAGUAAAUUAGCGUUUACUUCUGGUGA
rnacentral:tRNA from 1 species